GACGAACGCUGGCGGCGUGCUUAACACAUGCAAGUCGAGCGGUAAGGCCCUUUCGGGGGUACGACGAGCGGCGAACGGGUGAGUAACACGUGGGUGACCUGCCCUCAGCUCUGGGAUAAGCCCGGGAAACUGGGUCUAAUACUGGAUAUGACUCCACGGUGCAUGCCGUGGGGUGGAAAGCCUUGUGCGGCUGAGGAUGGGCCCGCGGCCUAUCAGCUUGUUGGUGGGGUGAUGGCCUACCAAGGCGACGACGGGUAGCCGGCCUGAGAGGGCGACCGGCCACACUGGGACUGAGACACGGCCCAGACUCCUACGGGAGGCAGCAGUGGGGGAUCUUGCGCAAUGGGCGAAAGCCUGACGCAGCGACGCCGCGUGAGGGAUGACGGCCU
rnacentral:rRNA from 1 species